rnacentral:miRNA from 1 species
AUUAUGUGUGUAUGUAUGUGUGCGUAUUAUGUGUGUAUAUAUAUAUAUGUACACACACACACACACACACACACACAU